rnacentral:rRNA from 1 species
GAUCUGGCUCAGAUUGAACGCUGGCGGCAUGCUUUACACAUGCAAGUCGAACGGUAACAGGGAGCUUGCUCCGCUGACGAGUGGCGAACGGGUGAGUAAUAUAUCGGAACGUACCCAGAAGUGGGGGAUAACGUAGCGAAAGUUACGCUAAUACCGCAUACGAUCCACGGAUGAAAGUAGGGGACCUUCGGGCCUUAUGCUUUUGGAGCGGCCGAUAUCUGAUUAGCUAGUUGGUGAGGUAAAGGCU